ensembl:lncRNA LINC03019 long intergenic non-protein coding RNA 3019
UGGUGGACCCUGCUGACUUGCUCACUACUGGCAAGCAAAGUGUUCACUGAUGAAUGAACAAUUACAUUUACCCACAGACUGAAAUAUGAUGUUAUUUUGUUUUGACUGAAAUUCCAACUCACUGUGAGAAUACUGUGAAAAAAAUCAUGAGAAGUAUCCUCAUAGGUGAGUCUUUUCACACAUCUGCACUAGUGAAUAUCUGAAUUUUAAAAGCCACUCCAGACCUACAUAGGUGAUGAACGAUGUGUACUUGAAAACAGUACACUCUUGCACAGCUGUCCCUGGAGCUUCCCCGUGGAGCUGUUAAACUUGCCCUCCGCUGGCUGUUUUCCACAAAGUAAUAUGGUUACAUAGAUUCACGGCUCAUGGCAAUGUUUCAUUAAGACAGUUCUUGAUGGCCGCUCCACACCUUUCUCACCACAUCUCACAGGCUGCCCUGCUGAGCCAGGUCUCCCUGGAACCCGGGGCUCCUGCGCAGGCCCCCAUUUUGCUCCAGAACACCCAGGAAGGCGGGGCUUGGGCUGGAAUGGGGACACCGAUUACCCUCUGUUCAGGCCUUUGGUGCCAGCUGAGGUCGAUACUGGUGCCAGGAUCGAGACUGUGCCCAUCCCAUCGAGAGCGGGCAGAUGUGGGGGCGCACUGGACCGGGCCUCCCAGGCUGACACCCAUUCGCAGCAGCCUGAGCCUAAUCCGCCACUGCUCGCCUUCCUCCGACGUCUCCACCUAAACCAUCCUUCUGCACAUUGUGACCCAUCACUCCGCCCUUUGUCCA